rnacentral:tRNA from 1 species
AUUUAAAUAGCUUAAUUUUUAGAGCAUAAUAUUGAAGAUAUUAGGGUGAUUAAUUGUAAUCUUUAAAUA